rnacentral:lncRNA from 1 species
CCAAGGUAUGAAGAUUAGAUCUUCUUUAUUUAUUUAUUUUAUUUUAUUUUUAUAUCUAAAUCUUAUGUUACAUAUGUAGAUCUUGUUUAUGAUUUUAAGAUAUGUCUUAUGCAUGCUUAGAUUAAAUUAGAUUUAAUCUGAAUUUUUAAUUUUUAUUAUGUACUUAUUUUAAAAUUUUUGCAUACAUGAAAUCAUAAAAUUCUAACA